rfam:Coniochaeta ligniaria NRRL 30616 unplaced genomic scaffold CONLIGscaffold_1, whole genome shotgun sequence.
GGUUUCGUAGUGUAGUGGCUAUCACGGCGGAUUCUGAUUCCGUCAACCCCGGUUCGAUCCCGGGCGAGACCU